AUUUUUAGGAUAGAUGCUUUUGUAGGAUUAGGUAGUUGGUAGGAAUCAAAGCUUACCAAGCCAAUGAUGCUUAAACGGUCUUUGAGGAUGAACGUUCACAGUAGAACUGAAAUAAUGUCUAAACCCUUUAGGGGCAGCAGUGAGGAAUAUUGGACAAUGGGCGAAAGCUCGAUCCAGUUAUGUUCCGUGGAGGAUGACAACUUAAGGGUUGUAAACUUCUUUUUUAAUGAGGAUAAUGACGUUAAUUAAAAAGUUAGCCCUGGCUAACUUCGUGCCAGCAGCCGCGGUAAUACGGAGAGGGCUAGUGUUAUUCGUCAUGAUUGGGCGUAAAGGGCGUGUAGGUUGUUAAAUAAGUUUAUUUUUAAAAUCUUGGUUGUAACCUGAGAAUAAAAUAAAUACUGUUUAACUAGAGUUUGAUAAAGGAUAGCAGAAUUUUUGGAGUAGAGAUAAAAUGCGGAAAUACCAGAAGGAAUGCUUAAAGCGAAGGCAGCUAUCUAGGUAAAACUGACACUGAGGCGCGAAAGCAUGGGUAGCGAAAGGGAUUAGAUACCCCAUUAGUCCAUGCCCGGGAUGAUG
rnacentral:rRNA from 1 species